AACGAACGCUGGCGGCAUGCCUAACACAUGCAAGUCGAACGAGACCUUCGGGUCUAGUGGCGCACGGGUGCGUAACGCGUGGGAACCUGCCCUUAGGUUCGGAAUAACUCCCCGAAAGGGGUGCUAAUACCGGAUAAUGUCUUCGGACCAAAGAUUUAUCGCCUUUGGAUGGGCCCGCGUUGGAUUAGCUAGUUGGUAGGGUAAAAGCCUACCAAGGCGACGAUCCAUAGCUGGUCGGAGAGGAUGAUCAUCCACACUGGGACUGAGACACGGCCCAGACUGCUACGGGAGGCAGCAGUGGGGAAUAUUGGACAAUGGGCGAAAGCGUGAUCCAGCAAUGCCGCGUGAGUGAUGAAGGCCUUAGGGUUGUAAAGCUCUUUUACCCGGGAUGAUAAUGACAGUACCGGGAGAAUAAGCUCCGGCUAACUACGUG
rnacentral:rRNA from 1 species